CUGCUCCUUCUCCCAUACCCAUUGCAUAUCGGAGUUGUGAAUUCUCAAAACACCUCCUGUGUGCAUGGAUUACAGGAGGGUGAGCCUUAUCAUC
rnacentral:pre_miRNA from 1 species